CUUCUUGUCUGUCGAAAACCAAGGAUAUGAUGAAGACUGAUCAAGGAAAAGGACAUUUUCCCUUUGUUUUUUGUAUCAUGUGUCUGUUUGUCACGUACACUCUCUCGCCGGCCUCUAGGUCAUCAGGCUGCUGAUUAUCCCGCACACCUGUCACCACCUGUAUCCAGCCUUGCAGGCCUUGUUGGACAGGUUAUGUGGUGGAGAAAUGUGGCUGCAACAAAAAAUAGAUUCUGAAGAUAGUUAAGUCAAAGCUGAAUGAAGACCUCAGUGGGAUUAACAAAAAUGUGUAAAUAGGUGGGCAGUGGUGGUGACACAGCAUGGUGAUGAUGCUGGUCAUGGUGCUACUGAUGGUGGCUGCUCACUCUCUGGGAAUGUGAUCUUCUACCCUACCAUUUACUUCACAUACCCAGAUGCUCAACUGGAACACACAGCAAUUGGCCUGUUCAAAGCAUAAUGCUGUGGUGGUGAGCUUCAUGUUCUGCUGGCCCUUCAUCACCCUGGUUGUUUUAUGGGGGGAAGGCCCUCACCCUGGGCUGGCAGAGCUGGACCCAUGGACAGAUCUUUGAGUUCUUAGACCAGCAGAAGGAUAUUUUCAGCAGCCUCAACAACAUCAUUCAAAACUUCAACAGCAGUUGAAGAGACCAGCUUUAAUACCCACUAAAUUCAGCCCAGCACCUCAGCAUCUGUACUUUUCUGUGUUACUGCCCCAACAUUCCACAAUGAUGCUCAGUCACAAUCACAAGGUGUCUCAGCCCUUUAAACUGGAUUACAGGUUUUGUACACUCUGUUUCUGGGUUUACUCAUGCAUACCUCCCUGUCUGUGCUCUUUGUUUCAGUGGCUGUACGAGAUGACAGUCAUUGUUCCCUAGCAUGCGCCAUGGAGCAGCAAUUUGAUCUGGACGACUUCCUCAAUGCUAGCAAAGUGUUGCUCAAUUUGACAUUGUGUCAUAUUUCAUUUUGUUUUCUGUUAAAAAAAAAAAAUCACCCAGUGUAUCUAAGGCACUGUUACUAUUGUAGCCUACCUUUUGAUUACAGUAUAUUGGCACUGAAGGAACUAUACUGCCUGUGACCGUUAUUUAUGUGCCUGUCUGCUUCUCUCAUUUAUUGUAGUUCUUGGAUGGAUUCAAUCAGAGUGCUCAGAAUUGGUCAGUUAACCUAAAUUACUUGAAAUAAUACCUGACAAUGGCAGACGGGGCCCGCUGAACUUCAACUACGAUGGGCAAUUACUGCUGGUAUAUAAUGUAUAGGAGCAGCAAAUCUGUGUGUGUGUUAUUUUGUAUUUGUUUACCUUAAUUUAACCAGGAAAAUACCGUUUGUGGUUAGAAACCUCUUUUGCGAGAGGGAGCUGGCCAAGAGGUCUGCAGGAAGUAGUCAGCGUGUACAGUAUAUACAAAGAGCAAAAUACAAUACAAAAACAAUCACAGUGGUCAAAAACAUUUCUCUAUCAGAGCUUUAAACUCAACAAUUGAUACCCUCUCCUCCAGUUUUAAAGUCUUUUGCAGCUCGUUCCCAGACCAAGGAGCGUUAUAGGAAAAUUAUAUUUAUCCUAUUUCAGUUCUGGCCUUAGGAACCGUGAAAGCUUGUAGCAGCUUGAAAGGGUGACUAUACAGUUGAAGUCGGAAGUUUACAUACACUUAGGUUGGAGUCAUUAAAACUUGUUUUUCAACCACUCCACAAAUUUCUUGUUAACAAACUAUAGUUUUGGCAAGUCGGUUAGGACAUCUACUUUGUGCAUGACACAAAUAGUUUUUCCAACAAUUGUUAACAGAUUAUUUCACUUAUAAUUCACUGUCUCACAAUUCCAGUGGGUCAGGAGUUUACAUACACUAAGUUGAUUGUGCCUUUAAACAGCUUGGAACCAAAGCACAAUGAACAAUAUACUGUGAGUCUCUAUUGAAGAACCAUAGCACAACGGACAAUAUACAGUAAGUGUUUAUAUUGAAGAACCAUAUCACAAUAAACAAUAUACAGUAAGUCUCCAUUGAAGAACCAUAGCACAAUGAACAAUAUACAGUAAGUGUCUAUUGAAGAACCAUAACACAAUGAACAAUAUACUGUAUGUUUUUUUAUUGAUGAACCAUAGCACAAUGAACAAUAUACUGUGUUUUUAUUGAAGAACUAUAGCACAAUGAACAAUAUACAGUAAGUCUCUAUUGAAGACCCAUAGCACAAUGAACAAUAAAUAUACUGUACGUUUUUUAUUGAAGAACCGUAGGACAAUGAACAAUAUUCUGUACUUUUCUAUUAUUUUAUUUAACCUUUAUUUUAUCAGGGAGCCAUAAGUUGCAAUGCAUGAAGUUAUUUAUCUAUUUGUUGUUUUGUUGUCACUUA